CUGCAGGUGCGGCUCUAAAAAAAAAAAAAAAAUAAAAAAAAAAAUAAAAAAAGAAGAAGUGGGGGACACAGAAAGGCCUUUGUGCCCAGGAGCCCACAGGGCCCUGCUGGGUUUCCUCAGUACUUUUGAAUCUAAAACACAGAUGGGUUCUUGUCUUGGCCAGAGGCAUUGAGUUCAAUUUCCUUGAAGGGGCCGUGAAGCCCAACAAUAGGCCAGAAAUGGAUUUAUUAAGAGAGGAUGAUUUUGAGGGUGCAAGCCUGGCAGGCGAGGAUUAGGUGGGCUGCAUUUUUAUGAUCCAAGAAAAGACUUGUCCUCUUCCUCAUUCUUCGAGUAGACGUCAGGCUUCCAUCACUAGCUCCUUUGUACCCCGUGAGCGAGUCUUUGACCCUCUGAGGUCAAACCGGGACUGUCCUGCUGCCUAUUCAGAUCAGCAGAAGGUGGUCAGGAGGCUGCAAUAUCUUGACUCACCUCUGGUUUCCAUACAGUGAGAGUCUCCUCCUCGGGAAUGGCCUCUUUCCCUGAAAUUCCUGUCCUUGCUCCGAAGGACCAACAUCUUGCCGAACUUGAAUGCAGGUCUCAUUUCACCUUUUACCUAAUGACCUGAGGCCCAUCUGGUGCUUUUAUCUGUGGUUUUAUAGUUAAGCAAGGCUGCUUUGUUCCACGACAUUCUGAUAGCUUUCUGGCUCAAUCGCUAACUUAGAGUGGUGGCCCACAAUUUCCCUCUCUGUCUGGGGUCCCCUCUGGGGACUUUUCUACAGCUGCCUGGGUAACCAACCCUGCCACUUCCAUUUGGUGCUUUUCCCCCCUGAAGAUUAUUCUGUUAGAAAUGAAAUAGUCAUCUAAUUUCCCACAAACUAUUACUCCCAUAGACGCAUCAAUUAUUUUAUAGGUUUUCUUGUUCUCAAGUUCACUGCGGUGAAGAAUCAGGUUUUAUCUAUUUUCAAUUUCUUUUUAAAAGACCUACAAAAGGCAAGGCAAUUUUUGGAUCAUUGAUUUAACAUAUGUAACAUUUCUACCCUCAGUUUUUCUAAAACAUUUCAAUUCCUCGCUGUCCGUGUCUGUAUCUAUCUCUCGGGGACCACAUUGGAGCGUCUUUGUUCCGAAGAAAGCCCUUUGUUUCUCUGCGUGUGUUUGCAUGUGUGCAUAACGAUUAGAAUCUUCUAGGUGUGGCCUUUUUACAAUCAGGAGACUCUGCUUAGCUCCUGGCAGACUGAAGGAGAGCAUUUAUCCCGAUGAGGAGGCUUGCGUAUCUUUCCGGACCUUUUAUUUUUUUCAGGUUUCACUGCAUUUCUAUCUGAGGCCCCACCCUGCCUCAUAUUCCUCCCCGCUGUUUUCAGUUCAGUGCUUAGUUUCACAGUGUGUCCAUUUGUCCUCUGCUCAAGUCACGUGCACAAGCACGGGUCGUCAGGUUUAAUCCCUGGGCACCUGUACCCACCACGUCCCCCAUCCCUUCGCAGGGUCAUCUUCCUUUUUUCUGACUCUGUUUUGGAAAAUACUUCCUUAGCUUUGGGAAGAGGCUCUGAUCUCGUUCAUCUUGGGUUUGCUCUGAAAAGCCGGUGAGGCAGCCCAGGGGCAGGCUGUUUUCUGCCCUCCGUCCUGCCCCGUCCAUGAUGCUCUGCGGCCUCUGGAAGGGGGUGCCGUCGGCCCAGGGUUCCUGGUUUUAUGUUGCCAUGUGACUUUCUUCCUUUCCUUCUUAAGGAUGACAGGUGUUGAACAAAUAUUUAUUGAGUUCCUUCUAGUGCCAGACACACUGAGGAACAAGCACUGUGCCAAUUAGACGCUUGGCGACAAACAGUAGAAACAAAUUCUGAAUAACCUAAGCAAAAAAAAAAAAAAAGAAAAAAAAAGCGGUGUUAAGCAGCUCGUAGAGGAGACUAGAGGUGGGAAAGGGGGUGGGGACGGAGGCAGAGCAUGUGUGGGCAAAGUCACGAAGGGGGAGAGUGACCGAGGGCCACCACGGCCACCACAGCUCCUCCAGCCUGCUGGUGCCCCACUGCGUCCGGCUGCCACUCAUUCUGCGCCACCAGGUCAGGAAUCCUAGUUCAAGCAAAACCUCCUGACUGGGCAAGGGCAGGGCUCGGCCCCCUGAAAGCUGCCAGGACCUGGGAUUUGGGUAGAAGCGGGCCAGAGCUUCAGCAGAGCAGGCGUCUUCUGGACGAGGAGCCAGGCUCUCCGCCCGCCACCCUUGAUUGGAGAAAAGAGGCCCUGAUGUCAUCCCCAGCAUCAGCCAUCUGCCUGCCACCAGCACGGGAGGCGUCUCAGCAGCCCCCUCCCAGGAGCAAGGGUUCCCUGUGUGCUGACCUUAUCCGUCGUAACAAAUGACUGCUGGAUUGUUACCCUGCAGAGAAUGAAAAAGAAAAACGAAUCCAGAUCCUUUAAGGGCCUUCUUUCUCGGCUUACGGAAUGGAGGGAAAAGCGUGAACAUCGAGAAACAGCAGACAAGCGACCCCCAGGCCUAGCGAAGGGCCCAGAAAUCCAUAUUGCUAUCAAGCUGCUUUGAGAGUUCCUGAUUCUGAUGAUUAGACAAACACGGAAAAUCUUGAAUCAACGAUCCUGCCGGCGACCACAGCUGCCCCUUCCCUCCGGGGACAUGAAAUCAAAGGAUGACUCACGAUCACGGCGGGCGACCCUUCCUGGAGCACCGACGGAACGAGUCCCAACAGAACGAGUCCGGGUUAUCUGUGAAGUGUCCACACCAGGGACGCGGGGUUUGAGAACUCGACACUGUGCCGUGGUUUUCUUAGUCCUUCCGUUCCUCUGCCUUCCUGGUCCUGCUGCUUUCUCCUGGUUUCAUUUCUCUUACCUCAUAUCCUCUCACUGGAGAUUCGGUUGGGUUUUUUGGCGGGAUUUUUUUGUUUUGUGUUUUCUUUUUUCUUUUUACAGCUGCACCUGCAGCAUGUGGAAUUUCCUGGGUUAGGGGUCAAAUUGGAGCUGCAGCUGCCAGCUUACACUAUAGGCACAGCAACACUGGAUCUGAGCCACAUAUGUGACCUGCACCACAGCUCAUGGCAAAGCCAGAUCCUUAACUCAUUGAGCGAGGCCAGGGAUCGAACUCAGAUCUUCACGGAGACUUAUGGCAGGUUCUUAAUCCAUUUAGUCAUGAUGAAAACUCCUCAGUUGGGUUUUACGUUAGCUUUCCAGCUAUUUCUACGGCUUUUCAAAAUUAUUUCAUUCCUUUAAAAAUGUGUUUCUGUGUGGCCCCGCCCGUGGCAUGUGGAGGUUCCCCACCCGGGAUCACACCUGAGCCGUAGUCGAGACGAUGGUGGAUCUUUAACUGCUAGGCCCCGAGGGGACACCUACGGUUUUUAUAAAAAUAAUGCCUUCCCGUCUUCUGCAUUUCAAGUGACAUAAUUUACAUCAUUAUUUUUGGAUUUUUAAAAUAUUGUCUCAAUUCACCCUCUUGAUACCACCCUUUAUGAUACUGUGCUAAAUCAUGUCCGUUUUUUUUUAACCAGUCUUAGCCUGGGGGUCUGGCUCUCCAACAGAUGUCUUUGCCAUCCAGCUGUGUUAGCGCUGUCUUGUCAACUAAUCUUGUCAACUAAUUUACACCGGAAGCACAAGGCAGAUAAAUUAAAGUAUCUUUAGUUUACCUAGACUACUUCGACAUGCAUCCAAAAGCAUAAUAAGCAUAAACUAUGGAGAAUAAGUGCCAGAUUUUCUAGACACCAGGAGCAAUACCUUGGAGUUCCUGCCAUGGCGCAGUGGGUUAAGAACCUGACUGUGUUGGCUCAGGUUGCCGUGGAGGUGAGGGUUUGACCCCCGGCCUGGUGCAGUGGGUUAAAGGAUCCAGCCUUGCCACAGCUGCUGUGGAGGUCUUAGCUGUGGCUCGGAUUCAGUCCCUGGCCUGGGACCUUCCAGGUGCUGUGGGUGCGGCCAUAAGAACGGACCAAAUAACGAACGAACCAUUUCUUUCAGAACACGAUGACCCAUAAAUCAGCCGAGAGGGAUUCUCGAAGUAAAACUAUCUCAGUCGCUUACAUCGGAUGUACUCCAGUGCCAUUGCUAACAUGGAGUUCUCCAGGAGACUGCUGGAGAGAAGCGGCCAGUUUACAGACGUGGACUCGGAGAGCAGAACCCGAGGGCUGCUGGACCACGUGUUCCCCAGUGGACACAGGCAGCGUGGAGAGCAGCCCCAGGAGAGGAUGGGGCGCCCCCGGCCGGCGGGUCUGGGGCCUCGGCCAGGAGUCCAGCCUCCCCUCAGCUUCCUGAGAUGCGACAGCCUGGCCAGUGGGACAAAAGAUUCCAAUCAAAGGACAAGAGGACACCACACAGCCCUGGGCGGCAUGAUUAACUUACCAGAACACACGAGGGGUGAACCUGCCUCUCCAGGGAUGACCACAGCCCCAGGGACCACAGCACCCCUGACCCUGGAACAAGCCAUUCAGAUGCACCGUGUUGUGGAGGCUAAGACAGCAAGUCGAUAUUGGACUAACUACGUGGAUUAAGAAUGAGACUACAGUAUCCUAUUUAGAUGAAAAGAAUGAAGAAAUGUUGAAACUCCCAAAGAAAUAAUUAAAUGGCAGAUUUCUGCUUCUUUAAUUCAAAAUUAUGAAAACAAUGAUGACCCAGCAAGUAUAUAAUAAUAUAUUUAUUAGAAAUGUGAGAUUUUCAUGCAGAAACCCAGAACCAUGAAUGAGAACCAGUAGAAAUAAGAGUCAGCAGAAUUAUGUUCACAAAAAAUCAAGAUAAUGGAAGUUAGCAGAUGUAGAAAUACAAUAAUAAGAUUAAUAUGGUCAAAUAAACUUUACAAAGAAAUUUUAAAUUACUAAUAAAGAGUAUACUAUGAAAAUGGAUGAAACGUUUGAAAGAACUGCAAUUUUUAGAGUGGAAAACAUAGUAAGUAAAAGUAUUUAACAAGUGGGUUAAAGAGUAGAUUAGGCAUACGUGAAGAUAGAAUUAGUGAACUAUGUAGAUCAAGGGGAAUUAUCCAGAAUCUAGCACAGAGAAACAGAGUGAUGGAAUACAUAACAAAGAAAUAAAGAGCUAUAGAGGGUAGAGUAAGAAAGUGCAACAUUCAUUUAAACACAGUUCCAGGAAGAGUAAUCAAGAGAACGAAGAAGAAGCAGUAUUAGAAGAGAAAAUUCUAAAAUGCCAGAACUGAUGAAAGACACCAAUCCUCAGAUUUAGGGAUCUCAAAAAACCACAAGAGCAAUAGAAUAAAAAAACAAAACAAAACAAAAACAAAAAAACUAAACACCAAAUGUAAGGUGAAGUCCUUUAAAGAAGCCAGAGAGAAAAGACAAGUCACCUACAAAAGAAAAGCAAUUUGAAACCCAGAUGACAUUUCUAUAGAAACAGUCAGCAAAUCCUAGGAAAGCUAUUUUAGUAAAAAGAAAUACAAAAUGCAAAUAGUCCUACAAUUAUUAAAUGAAUUGAAUCCAUAAUUUAAAAACCUUCCCACAAAGAAAAUAAGAAAAACUCUAGGCCCAUAUGGUUUCACUGGUGAAUUUCAAACAAAUAGUUAGGGAAAAAGUAAUGUCAUCUUUUCUAAGUAAAUUCUUCCAGAAAUGGAAAAAGAGGGCAUAUCUCCUGUUUCUUUUUGUAAUGCCUGCAUAAUCUAAAAGGAAAAAACAGGCUGAUCUCACUCAGGAAUGUAGUUGCAAAAUUUUAAAACAAAAUAUUAACAAACUGAACUCUAAUAUUUUGUUCAUUUUAGUAAUUUCUGCUCAUAAUGAAAAUAUAGCAAAUUCCAAAUAAAAAGGAAAAAUUUAAAUCUGGCAAUGUGUUUUUAAAAAUAUUUGUAAGUAAACAAUGUACUGGGAUUCCCUUCGUGUCUCAGCAGUUAACGAACCUGACUAGCAUCCACUUGUAUGCGUGUUUGAUCCCUGGCCUCUCUCAUUGGGUUAAGUAUGCAG